CCUACGGGUGGCAGCAGUGAGGAAUAUUGGUCAAUGGACGAGAGUCUGAACCAGCCAAGUAGCGUGAGGGAUGAAUGCCCUAUGGGUUGUAAACUUCUUUUAUAUGGGAAUAAAACGCUCCACGUGUGGGGUUCUGUAUGUACCGUAUGAAUAAGGAUCGGCUAACUCCGUGCCAGCAGCCGCGGUAAUACGGAGGAUCCGAGCGUUAUCCGGAUUUAUUGGGUUUAAAGGGAGCGUAGGCGGAUUGUUAAGUCAGUUGUGAAAAUCUGCGGCUCAACCGUAGAAUUGCAGUUGAAACUGGCAGUCUUGAGUACAGUACAGGCAGGCGGAAUUCGUGGUGUAGCGGUGAAAUGCAUAGAUAUCACGAAGAACUCCGAUUGCGAAGGCAGUCCACCGGACUGCAACUGACACUGAGGCUCGAAGGUGUGGGUAUCAAACAGGAUUAGAUACCCUAGUAGUC
rnacentral:rRNA from 1 species